AGAUCGUCUUGUGAGUGAGAAGCACGACAAUAACAUAACCAGCCUGUAUCUUCAAAGAUGGGAAGUUUAUAAAACUGCGAAAGAGCAUUUUGCCAACAGGAUUUGUGAUAAUAAAGAUGUGGGACCCUGUGUGGAUCCUGCUUGUAACACGACCUUCCUGCCGCCCAGGGCGAGACUACAGCGUCUUGUGAGCACCCAGUACAACGUCAGCUCCCGCCAUCUUGAGGUGCUGAGCUCCUUGGGGGCCCGGGUGCCGCCCGCCGACCUCGUCUUCCUCACGGCGGCCUCAGAGGACCAUUUUGAUGAGAGUCAGGGUGUCAUCAGGGGCCUGCAUGAAUAGGUCUUUCCCUGGCUCACCAACAACACAAACUAUUCUUAUAACUUUAUCUACUAUGACCUGGGACUCGCCAACAACAGCUUGGC